AUGGCCGAGAGGUACUGCAGCAAGAAAGCGGUUGUGGCUGGUGGCGAGAACCGCUUAAGCACGCUCCCAGAAGAUGUGAUCCAGCCGGUGUUGUCGUUCCUGCCCUCGCGUCGAGCCGCGCAGACGUGCGCGCUCGCCACCCGCUGGCGCACCCUCUGCCUCUGGAAGUCUGUGCCAUCUCUUCGCAUCGAUGCCGAUGAUGAGGCCUACCGGUGUUGCCACGACUUGAAGCGUUUCAUCGAUGGCUUCCUUCGCUGCCGUGACCCAACACCUCUGCACGAAUGUGAGAUCCUUUUUGACGAUGAUCGGGGCUCGGAGCAGUUUCACCCAGACUUUGAGCUGUGGCUCUAUUAUGCUGUGUCACACAAAGUGAGGGUUCUUCGAUUCAAAAUCCUAGCUGGCCAUGAUCCUUUGCAGCUAUCUGCCGGGGCUCUCAUCUCCGACCACUUGACAACAUUAGUUCUUCGUUGUGUCGAGUUCUAG
rnacentral:rRNA from 1 species